UGCUGCAGAGGUGUGGGUUUAAUCCCUGGCAGCUGUGGUUCAGAUUCAGUCACUGGCCUGGGAACCUCCAUAGGCUGCAAAUGCAGCCAUUAACUAACUAACUAACUAACUAAAUAAGUAAAUUUAAUAGCUACUAUACUGGACAGUACAGCUUCUGAGAGCUCUAAAAAUCAAUAUUCAGAAUUUUUUGAAAUAGAAUUUUCUUUUCUUACUCAAAUUCCAUUUUCCCACACCUAAAGGAUGUAUUUGACAGAAUCUUACAUGCAUUUAGCUUCCUCCUUUAAGAAUUUACACUUGAGGAGUUCCCAUCAUAACGCAGCAGUUAACAAAUCUGACUAUUAUCCAUGAGGAUGCAGGGUUUGAACCUCUGUCCUCAUGGAUGCUAGUUAGAUUCAUUAACCACUGAGCUAUGACCGCAACUCCCAUAGUGUGCUCUUUAAACACUACAAAUUUUAUCUUAUCAUCAUCAACAAGUUGAACACAUGUGGUCAGAAUACUUUUUUUUUUUUUUUUUUUUUUUGCCAUUU